rnacentral:rRNA from 1 species
UGAAGGAACUAGGCAAAAUGGUGCCGUAACUUCGGGAGAAGGCACGCUGAUAUGUAGGUGAGGUCCCUCGCGGAUGGAGCUGAAAUCAGUCGAAGAUACCAGCUGGCUGCAACUGUUUAUUAAAAACACAGCACUGUGCAAACACGAAAGUGGACGUAUACGGUGUGACGCCUGCCCGGUGCCGGAAGGUUAAUUGAUGGGGUUAGCGGUAACGCGAAGCUCUUGAUCGAAGCCCCGGUAAACGGCGGCCGUAACUAUAACGGUCCUAAGGUAGCGAAAUUCCUUGUCGGGUAAGUUCCGACCUGCACGAAUGGCGUAAUGAUGGCCAGGCUGUCUCCACCCGAGACUCAGUGAAAUUGAACUCGCUGUGAAGAUGCAGUGUACCCGCGGCAAGACGGAAAGACCCCGUGAACCUUUACUAUAGCUUGACACUGAACAUUGAGCCUUGAUGUGUAGGAUAGGUGGGAGGCUUAGAAGUGUGGACGCCAGUCUGCAUGGAGCCGACCUUGAAAUACCACCCUUUAAUGUUUGAUGUUCUAACGUUGACCCGUAAUCCGGGUUGCGGACAGUGUCUGGUGGGUAGUUUGACUGGGGCGGUCUCCUCCUAAAGAGUAACGGAGGAGCACGAAGGUUGGCUAAUCCUGGUCGGACAUCAGGAGGUUAGUGCAAUGGCAUAAGCCAGCUUGACUGCGAGCGUGACGGCGCGAGCAGGUGCGAAAGCAGGUCAUAGUGAUCCGGUGGUUCUGAAUGGAAGGGCCAUCGCUCAACGGAUAAAAGGUACUCCGGGGAUAACAGGCUGAUACCGCCCAAGAGUUCAUAUCGACGGCGGUGUUUGGCACCUCGAUGUCGGCUCAUCACAUCCUGGGGCUGAAGUAGGUCCCAAGGGUAUGGCUGUUCGCCAUUUAAAGUGGUACGCGAGCUGGGUUUAGAACGUCGUGAGACAGUUCGGUCCCUAUCUGCCGUGGGCGCUGGAGAACUGAGGGGGGCUGCUCCUAGUACGAGAGGACCGGAGUGGACGCAUCACUGGUGUUCGGGUUGUCAUGCCAAUGGCACUGCCCGGUAGCUAAAUGCGGAAGAGAUAAGUGCUGAAAGCAUCUAAGCACGAAACUUGCCCCGAGAUGAGUUCUCCCUGACUCCUUGAGAGUCCUGAAGGAACGUUGAAGACGACGACGUUGAUAGGCCGGGUGUGUAAGCGCAGCGAUGCGUUGAGCUAACCGGUACUAAUGAACCGUGAGGCUUAACCUU